AGUAGCAAGCUACAUCAUCUUUUUGUUGAUUCAUCUAUUGUGUCUCAAUCAAUUUGAAUAAAUUACUGCACUACACGAAUACUUUCUUCCAUAUUCUCUAAAGUGUCACUGGGUGUCAGUUGCUAGCGGAACAACCACGUGUGGUUGGUUAAUUUUCUAGGUUUUUCUUCGUCAUCCCCUGUGAUGCUGAUUGAAUAACGUGUGCUAUAUUUGUCCUGGUGACGUUUAAAACUGAGGAAAAUCAAAGACCACGUGUUGGUGCAUAAAACUUUAGUGUCUAAGAGUAGUGAUUUCUUCGAAGCCACUUCAUCUGAAAAACU